CAGGUUAGCUGACCAGCCCUGUGGUGGAACAGAUUGAAAUACUAAUCACUGAAAAUAGCUUUAUCCUCUGUUUUGUCUGCUUGUGUAACUAAAAAAAAUGAACGUAAGACAGGUCUUAACAAUAGUCUCUUCUAAAACUUACUUUUGCUCAGUAUUGACCUCUUGAGCCUGACCCCAAAUUGUGAGAGCCCUGGGGAUAUGUUUGGCCCUGUGAAGGAAGGUCAGGCCCGUCCACUCCUGCUGGUUCUUAUUCCACAGUGUGGAGCUCUUGAAGACGAUUCUGGAUACCUUUCUACUCUUCUGACCCAGGUCCAGUCCAAACUGCAGUGGGGUUCUAUGUGGUAAUACCAAAGGAUUUUCAAAAGGGCAUUUGGAGUCCAGCGUCUCCAUGUGGACUUCACCCAGUAACAAAAUAUCUUAUCAAUUUGAAGAUGAACGUUUUUCACGUUUUAACACCUCUGAAGUUGACAGAAUCUUACGGUUGCUGUUCUCCAGGUGGCAGCCAGGACGUAGCUGCUGUUGCCUGCCCUUGCACAAACCUAGAUGUUAGUCCUCAUUCAGGUUGUCUUUAAAUGAUUCGUUGACUGUGUGUGUAGAAGAGUUACAGUUGUCCAAUAUGCCUUUGGUGGACCUUUUGUGGACAUCCUUCAGUAAGAACAAUAAAGUGCCAGCAUCAAAACUUAUAGAAUGAGCAUCAGCACCUUGGAAGCAAAUCCCAGAGACAAUAUUGCAGCAGUCUUAAGAAUAUUACCAAAGCUCCUGAUAGCCCAGCUGACAAAGCGUGAAAAAAACUCUGAUCUCAACUCUCCGUUGAAAGUGAUUCAGAGGACCUGGGAAUGUUUCUAUGGGAAACAUUUUAAUGAUACCUCAACCAAUUUUUAAAAAUUUAAGUCAGAUUUAUUGAGGUAUAAUUUACAUACAGUAAAACUAACCCUUUUUAGAUAUACAGUUCUGUGAAUUGGUAAAAAUAUAUAUAAUGUUGUGUAUCCACCACCAAAAUCAAGAGAGUACAUUUUGAGUUUCCUCAUGCCUCUUUGUAGUUGAUCCCCAACCCAUACUCCCGGCCCUCAGGAACCACUGAUCUUUCUUUCUCUGCUGUUUCGGCUUUCCUGUAAUGUUGUGUAGCAUUUUGAUUCUGGUUUAUUUCACUUAGCAUAAUGUUCUUGCAUUUAUCAGUAGUUCCUUCCUUUUUACUGUUGAGUAGUAUUCCAUGGUGUGAUUAUACCAUAAUGUUUAUGCAUUCACAAUAGAAUAUCUGGAUUGCUUCUAGUUUAUGGCAAUUACGGAUAAAGCUAUAAAAGUGCAGGGUUUUGUAUGGAUAUACAGUUCCACUUCUCAUGGGGAAACACUCAGGCGUAGGAUUGCUGGGUCAUAUGGUAAUUGUAUAUUUAACUUUAUAACACACUGCUGAACUGCUUUUCACAGUGUCUGCAGGGUUUGACAUUCCCACGCACCAUGAAAACUUGGAGCUACUCUGCAACCUCACCAGCGCUUGGCAUGAUCAGCUUUUUAAAAUUAUAGUCAUUGUAUCCAUUAUUAGUCAUAGCUCACCGUGGUGUCAAUGUGCAUUUCCUUAAUGAUGCGCAUCUUCUCAUGGGCUUAUUUCCUAUCUAUAUAUCUCCUUUGAUGAAAUGUCUGUUCAAAUCAUUUGUAAUUUGAUUAUGUUCUUCUUACGGAGCUAUGAAUCCUUUAUGCAUUCUAGGUGUCCUUUAUCAGAUAUGUGUUUUG
ensembl:lncRNA